rnacentral:rRNA from 1 species
UACAGAGGGGGCAAGCGUUAUUCGGAAUUAUUGGGCGUAAAGGGCGCGUAGGCGGCCAUUCAAGUGACGGGUGAAAUCCCUCAGCUUAACUGGGGAACUGCGUCUGAUACUGGAUGGCUUGAGAUUGGGAGAGGGAUGCGGAAUUCCAGGUGUAGCGGUGAAAUGCGCAGAUAUCAGGAGGAACACCGGUGGCGAAGGCGGGCUCUGGGCCGUAACUGACGCUGAGGAGCGAAAGCAUGGGGAGCGAACAGG